rnacentral:lncRNA from 1 species
UAAAUUAAAAAUUUUAAAUUAAGUCUAAUUUAAGUCUUAUGAACAAGCAAAUAUUCAUGAGACUGGUAUUAUAAUUCUCCAUUAAUUCUCUUGGUUUCCACUCUUUUUGACCAACACUGUAGAGAAUGAAUUCUUUGUUCACCUUGCCAAAAAGAAUGAGAAAGAAGAAACAAGGAGGGCCCCAUUUUGGAGACAGAAAGCAAGAUACAGUCUUGAUUGCCCAGUGUUGAUGAUACAGCCACAAAAAGAAUUGUCAGAAUUUACGAUCCUUAUAACAAUAUCUCCCUGGCAGAACAAAUACCCAGAGGUUAAAGAAGCUUUGAGUUCACCCUUAUACAUCAAAGAAAGAGAAGAAUAAUAUGAAAUAAGACUGUAAAAGCAGAGAUCCACUUAAAGGCAAAUGAAGAAAAAUGAAGGUCAGGAUUUAUAAGACCCAAGAUCCCUAGCUGAUGGCAUAAUGGAAGAGAAUUGUGAAAGAUGGAAUAUGGAUUUUAUAGCCAUCAAUCCAAGAGUUUCUCACUGUUGGAGAAAAAAAUAGUUGAUACAUUGCAAAAUACCUUUGGGAUUAAGAAUGGCAACAUUUAACACAUCUACUACUAAUAAAGAUUUAUUCAUUUUCUGCCUUCUAUAAUA